rnacentral:rRNA from 1 species
UGGGGAAUAUUGGACAAUGGGGGAAACCCUGAUCCAGCGACGCCGCGUGUGUGAAGAAGGCCUGCGGGUUGUAAAGCACUUUCGGUGGGAACGAAAUAUGCCGGGCUAAUACCCCGGUAGGCUGACGUUACUCAAUGAAGAAGCACCGGCUAACUCUGUGCCAGCAGCCGCGGUAAUACAGAGGGUGCGAGCGUUAAUCGGAAUUACUGGGCGUAAAGCGCACGUAGGUGGCGACGUAAGUCGGGUGUGAAAGCCCCGGGCUCAACCUGGGAACCGCAUUCGAGACUGUGUUGCUGGAGUACGGAAGUAGGAGGGCGGAAUUCCCGGUGUAGCGGUGAAAUGCGUAGAUAUCGGGAGGAACAUCAGUGGCGAAGGCGGCCCUCUGGUCCAGUACUGACACUCAAGUACGAAAGCGUGGGGAGCAAACAGGAUUAGAUACCCCCGUAGUCCCUGAGCGGGCUGGCAAGGCGCAU